rnacentral:rRNA from 2 species
AAGGUGAUAUGAACCGUUAUAACCGGCGAUUUCCGAAUGGGGAAACCCAGUGUGACUCGUCACACUAUCAUUAACUGAAUCCAUAGGUUAAUGAGGCGAACCGGGGGAACUGAAACAUCUAAGUACCCCGAGGAAAAGAAAUCAACCGAGAUUCCCCCAGUAGCGGCGAGCGAACGGGGAGGAGCCCAGAGCCUGAAUCAGCAUGUGUGUUAGUGGAAGCGUCUGGAAAGGCGCGCGAUACAGGGUGACAGCCCCGUACACAAAAGCGCAUGUGCUGUGAGCUCGAUGAGUAGGGCGGGACACGUGGUAUCCUGUCUGAAUAUGGGGGGACCAUCCUCCAAGGCUAAAUACUCCUGACUGACCGAUAGUGAACCAGUACCGUGAGGGAAAGGCGAAAAGAACCCCGGCGAGGGGAGUGAAAAAGAACCUGAAACCGU